AGUCCAGAUUUGUUGAACUGCAAAUUCGAUUUUGGGGUUUUCCCCCUGGACUU
rnacentral:tRNA from 1 species